UACGAAGGGGGGCUAGCGUUGCUCGGAAUCACUGGGCGUAAAGGGCGCGUAGGCGGACUUUUAAGUCAGGGGGUGAAAUCCUGAGGCUCAACCUCAGAACUGCCUUUGAUACUGAGGGUCUCGAGACCGGUAGAGGUAAGUGGAACUGCGAGUGUAGAGGUGAAAUUCGUAGAUAUUCGCAAGAACACCAGUGGCGAAGGCGGCUUACUGGACCGGUUCUGACGCUGAGGCGCGAAAGCGUGGGGAGCAAACAGG
rnacentral:rRNA from 1 species